CCCCCCUGCCAUAGGCAGGGACACCUCACCCUAGGCCAUGUUGCCCAAAGCUGUGUCCAACCUCGCCUUGAACACUGCCAGGGAUGGAGCAUUUGUCACUUCUUUGGGCAACCUGUUCCAGUCAUAUAUUCUUAAAGGAAGCAGAUUUGCCCAGGUUUGUUCACUGAUGGUUCUCCUGCUCAUAAACAGCUCCUGGGGAUGACUCCAUCAUUUUGAGCUAGUGCUGAAUCAGUAUCUUGGCAGGAUAAAUUGCACUCAUCCUUGUUGUGAUGAGCUUCAAACUUCAGUUGCCAAUACACGAUGACCAGAAAGUUCAUCAAAUUCUUCUUUGGAUGAGUAGGACUGUUAUUUCAGACAAGGUCCAAACUGGAUAAAUUCUUACAUGGUGAAUUAUUCACUGCUCAAAUCUUCCAUUUGUAGGUUGUUUAGGUGUCCUAGACAAGAGCUGCUGCCUUUUACCCAGCGGUAGAAUAAGACAGGCAGUUUUAUUCCCAGAGCAAUCCCACCCCCUAAAUGGUGAGUUGAAGCUGCCUUAGAACAGAAGCAUGCCACUUGGCUUUGACAAAAUGUCAGAUUCAACUCCACCUACACAGCUGUAAUGCUGGGACCAUUAGGGGAGUGGGAUUGCCUGCAAACAUUUAAUUACCUAUACCAUGUGAGUAGGAAGUUGUUAUUCUGGCUGACAGAGGAAUAAUGAGGAAAAAAAACACAUUAUGAAAACAUUUGAAUCUGAAGAAUCUUUCUGUCUUUGGGCAUUGUUUUAAUGGAUUUAUGAUACCCCACUGAUGUGUGGGCAGAACCCAAUUAGUUGCAGACACUGAAAGAGUAAACUUUUAAAUAAUUUGUUGAGAAUGGAAUAUUUUUUUUCAUCCUUUAGCACUAGUGGCUAAUUUACUGCAUAUUUGUCUUCUUUAACUGAUUAGUAGAAGAGCUUAACUGAUUGUGUCAACUUCUCCAUACGCACAUUAGCCCCAAAUUCUAAAGCUUCUUACCACAGUAAAACUCACUUAUUCAGUGGGCUGUGCUAUUCUUGAUAAAUGGAAAUAAAUAUUAGUAGAUGAAACCAGAUAGUAUCACUGUGGAAGGAAGAGUUGUCCUAGAAAUGCAAUAGUUGAUGAUUUGCCAUUUCUGUAAUGAGACAACUUCCAGAGCCCAUUUCUCAGUCUGCACCCAGUCUGGACCCUUUCAGAAGAGUUGGCCUUGCUCCCUGAGCAAGUACAUGGUUCCUGGUGGGGCAGGAGAGGGGGCUGGCUAUUUAGAUGUUUAGGGGAGGCAGCAAAGGACCAGCAGAGAAGAUAUGUGAAAUCUUACGGGGGGAGCAGCGGUUUCACUGGAAUGGGUUGAAAUUUGUGAUGCCAGCAACAUGUUGGCUGACUGUUCUGAGCUGGGAAACAAGAACCAGAAGGAUGGGGAGAGAGGUGGGCUAACUAAGCAGCUGAGCUGUAGCUCUUCUGAUGAGCAGCAGAAUUAAAUGUAGGCCAAAGGAAUGCUAGAAAGGCUUCUCUGCAGAACUGGCUUUGGUGGAGAAAGCAGGUGGUCCCUGCUGAGGAGUUCAGGGAUGGCUGGACUGCCUCUUUCUCAAGAGGACCAGAGAUGAACCUAAAUGAUGACAAUGGGAGGUUCUGCAUAUACCCUUUCCCAAUCAAUCAGAGAUCAUGAACCAAGUGUCUGUCUUCCCUGCCGAAUCACAGCCUGAGAAAAAGGAUGCCCAAGGAUGCCUGAUGGAGUAUAUUUUGUAUAGCAUGCAAUAGUAAAAGUCACCUUUCAGAGCUACGUUGCUAUUGAAAAGUUGAGAAAUAUGAAAAAUGGAGGAAAUCAAGCAGGAGCUUACAAUGUAUGAGCCAAAUCAAAAGGAGGAAAGCAUUUAAAAAAAAACACUGUUUCUGAGGCCUCAUGUCAAAUGUUGACUCUACAAAAGAUGUUUUUUUUUCAGUUGCUCAUUAAAAAGGAUCCUACUGAAGAGUUAUUGUUCCCUGAGAAAUCAGACAUGUUGUGCGGGCAAACAUAUUAAAAAGAAAAGGAUUUCCAGAAAGAUGUGAAUGCAAGAAAGCAAUAAAACCUGAAGAGGUUAUUAAAAGCCACCCAGAGAAAUUGGCCACAUGAGGUGUAUUAAAAAAGACUGAGAAGCAAUCGGCAACAAGAAAUCUUCUGGGACACCAAAGCCUAAGACUGGAUGUAAUCCUGAUCCCCUGGGAACCUCUGAUCUCCCUCUCCUGGAGUCCUCACUAUGUGGAUGAAGACAGCUGAUGGCCUUUGCUCUGAUGUUCCUGCAGCUGGAGGCAUUCUCAGUGGGAAGGGCUGGCAGAUUUCAAAACAAGUUUUCCCUAUUCUCCAGCCACAUUUUUUCUCCUAAUUGCAAAGCCAGCACGGUUUGUUUUGUUGGUUUUGUUGUUUUCUGAAAUAACUAAUUCAGCCAGCCAUUAAAUCUCUUGCUCUCUGUA